AAGAAAGGCUGCAGGCUGGUUAGGGUUGUUUGAACAUCUUUGUGUACCUGGGGUUUUGACUCUGAAAUUGUGUUUCCUGCUUUGAGUUAGGGGGUAGUGAGACACCCUGUGUUUUAACUAUGUAGACAACUAUCAAAUAUCUUUCUUCUUACUGCUAUUACGGUGUGAAUUCAGGAAACUCCAGGAGCCCCUUGUACUUGCAUCACUGUAAUAGUGCCAGAUGACAUGAGCAGCUUGGUCCAUGCUAUCUCUUGCGCCACCCAUGCAAUAAGAGAGCGCUCUGAGCUGAUUCUUUGAAGAAUAAUUCUUCUGCGAAGCUCUUUAUGUUUGGUGUCAGUCCCGGCUAUUUGGGGAGCUAACCACAGACUGCAGCAAAAAUGGGAGUUUGAACCCACAACAGUGGUUUUCACAUUCAAGGCCCUGUCUUGCAUGUGCUUGCAGAAGAAAUAGAGUUGUGCAUGGAAAGUUGGAUGCUGAAGCUAAAUGGGAGUUUUCUUUUUCUCUGCCCCAGGAUGUUAUAGGAAGAGACUUCUUUAAAAACCUUCUCUGAACAGAAAGAUCAGAGAAAGCAAGUACCAGAUUAGAAAUUAUCUAUGAAGUUGUCUUUUCUCUUGCCUUAUCUGUUUUCUAAAUAUUUGUCAUCUUGUUCUCCCCUUGUUCCCAGGAUUUAUCAUGAUG